rnacentral:rRNA from 1 species
CUCAGGAUGAACGCUGGCGGCGUGCUUAACACAUGCAAGUCGAACGAAGCAAGUUUCUGCUGCAAGAAAUUGACUUAGUGGCGGACGGGUGAGUAACGCGUGGGUAACCUGCCUCAUACAGGGGGAUAACAGUUGGAAACGACUGCUAAGACCGCAUAACCCGCUAGUGUCGCAUGACACGGACGGAAAAUAUUUAUAGGUAUGAGAUGGGCCCGCGUCUGAUUAGCUAGUUGGUAAGGUAACGGCUUACCAAGGCGACGAUCAGUAGCCGACUUGAGAGAGUGAUCGGCCACAUUGGGACUGAGACACGGCCCAAACUCCUACGGGAGGCAGCAGUGGGGAAUAUUGGACAAUGGGGGAAACCCUGAUCCAGCCGACGCCGCGUGAGUGAAGAAGUAUUUCGGUAUGUAAAGCUCUAUCAGCAGGGAAGAUAAUGACAGUACCUGACUAAGAAGCCCCGGCUAACUACGUGCCAGCCGCCGC